CAUUAAAACCCUGGUUCUGAUAUGAUCACCAAAGUUAAGCAAUGUUGAGCCUGGUCAGUACUUAGAUGGGUGACCACUUAGGAAUACUAGGUACUGUAAG